UACGAAGGGGGAGCUAGCGUUGCUCGGAAUCACUGGGCGUAAAGGGUGCGUAGGCGGGUCUUUAAGUCAGGGGUGAAAUCCUGGAGCUCAACUCCAGAACUGCCUUUGAUACUGAGGACUGUGAGUUCGGGAGAGGUGAGUGGAACUGCGAGUGUAGAGGUGAAAUUCGUAGAUAUUCGCAAGAACACCAGUGGCGAAGGCGGCUCACUGGCCCGAUACUGACGCUGAGGCACGAAAGCGUGGGGAGCAAACAGG
rnacentral:rRNA from 1 species